CUACUUUGCCCCAUUGGGCCUU
rnacentral:miRNA from 1 species